rnacentral:rRNA from 1 species
AACUUUGCAAUAAGCGAAAGCUUGACUGGGCUAUCCCGAGUGCCACCCGCUGAGGAAGGCUUUUACCCAGUCUAGAACGCUGGGGGAAUAAGGAGAGGGCAAGUCUGGUGUCAGCCGCCGCGGUAAUACCAGCUCUCCGAGUGGUGUGGAUGUUUAUUGGGCCUAAAGCAUCCGUAGCUGGCUAGGUUAGUCCCCUGUUAAAUCCACCGAAUUAAUCGUUGGAUCGCGGGGGAUACUGCUUGGCUAGGGGACGAGAGGGCAGACGGUAUUUUCGGGGUAGGGGUGAAAUCCUAUAAUCCCGGGAAGACCACCAGUGGCGAAGGCUGUCUGCUAGAACGCGCCCGAUGGUGAGGGAUGAAAGCUGGGGGAGCGAACCGGAUUAGAUACCCGGGUAGUCCCAGCUGUAAACGAUGCAGGCUAGGUGUUUGGACGGCCACGUGCCGUUCUAGUGCCGCAGGGAAGCUGUUAAGCCUGCCGCCUGGGGAGUACGAUCGCAAGAUUGAAACUUAA